rnacentral:tRNA from 2 species
GCAGAGAUGGUCUAGUUGGUUAUGACGCGGCUUUAACACAGCUGAGGUCCCGGGUUCGAUUCCCGGUCUUUGUA